UCCAGACUCCUACGGGAGGCAGCAGUGGGGGAUAUUGCACAAUGGGGGGAACCCUGAUGCAGCGACGCCGCGUGGGUGAAGGAGCGUUUCGGCGCGUAAAGCCCUAUCGGCAGGGAAGAAGGAGGACGGUACCUGACUAAGAAGCCCCGGCUAACUACGUGCCAGCAGCCGCGGUAAUACGUAGGGGGCAAGCGUUAUCCGGAUUUACUGGGUGUAAAGGGGGCGCAGACGGCAGCGCAAGCCAGGAGUGAAAGCCCGGGGCCCAACCCCGGGACUGCUCUUGGAACUGCGCGGCUGGAGUGCAGGAGGGGCAGGCGGAAUUCCUGGUGUAGCGGUGAAAUGCGUAGAUAUCAGGAGGAACACCGGUGGCGAAGGCGGCCUGCUGGACUGCGACUGACGUUGAGGCCCGAAAGCGUGGGGAGUAAACAGGAUUAGAUACCCUGGUA
rnacentral:rRNA from 1 species